rnacentral:rRNA from 1 species
UACAGAGGGUGCGAGCGUUAAUCGGAAUUACUGGGCGUAAAGCGCACGUAGGCGGCUUGGUAUGUCGGGUGUGAAAUCCCUCGGCUCAACCGGGGAACUGCGUGUGAUACUGGCGGGCUCGAAUUCGGGAGAGGGAUGUGGAAUUCCAGGUGUAGCGGUGAAAUGCGUAGAUAUCUGGAGGAACACCGGUGGCGAAGGCGAGUCUCUGGACAAUUCCUGACGCUGAGGCACGAAAGCCAGGGGAGCAAACGGG